CGAACCGACUUACGUUGAAAAGUGAGCGGAUGAACUGAGGGUAGCGGAGAAAUUCCAAUCGAACCUGGAGAUAGCUGGUUCUCUCCGAAAUAGCUUUAGGGCUAGCCUCAAGUGAUGAUUAUUGGAGGUAGAGCACUGUUUGGACGAGGGGCCCCUCUCGGGUUACCGAAUUCAGACAAACUCCGAAUGCCAAUUAAUUUAACUUGGGAGUCAGAACAUGGGUGAUAAGGUCCGUGUUCGAAAGGGAAACAGCCCAGACCACCAGCUAAGGUCCCAAAAUAUAUGUUAAGUGGAAAAGGAUGUGGCGUUGCCCAGACAACUAGGAUGUUGGCUUAGAAGCAGCCAUCAUUUAAAGAGUGCGUAAUAGCUCACUAGUCGAGUGACACUGCGCCGAAAAUGUACCGGGGCUAAACAUAUUACCGAAGCUGUGGAUUGUCCUUUGGACAAUGGUAGGAGAGCGUUCUAAGGGCGUUGAAGCAUGAUCGUAAGGACAUGUGGAGCGCUUAGAAGUGAGAAUGCCGGUGUGAGUAGCGAAAGACGGGUGAGAAUCCCGUCCACCGAUUGACUAAGGUUUCCAGAGGAAGGCUCGUCCGCUCUGGGUUAGUCGGGUCCUAAGCU
rnacentral:rRNA from 1 species